UGCCCAGACUCCUACGGGAGGCAGCAGUGGGGAAUAUUGCACAAUGGGCGAAAGCCUGAUGCAGCGACGCCGCGUGAGUGAAGAAGUAUUUCGGUAUGUAAAGCUCUAUCAGCAGGGAAGAAAAUGACGGUACCUGACUAAGAAGCCCCGGCUAACUACGUGCCAGCAGCCGCGGUAAUACGUAGGGGGCAAGCGUUAUCCGGAUUUACUGGGUGUAAAGGGAGCGUAGGCGGAAUGCCAAGUCAGCGGUAAAAUUUCGGGGCUCAACCCCGUCGUGCCGUUGAAACUGACGCCCUUGAGUGAGUGAGAAGUAAGCGGAAUGCGUGGUGUAGCGGUGAAAUGCAUAGAUAUCACGCAGAACGCCGAUUGCGAAGGCAGCUUACCGGCGCUCAACUGACGCUGAGGCACGAAAGUGCGGGUAUCGAACAGGAUUAGAUACCCCAGUAA
rnacentral:rRNA from 1 species